UACGAAGGGUGCUAGCGUUGUUCGGAAUUACUGGGCGUAAAGCGCACGUAGGCGGGUUUGUAAGUUGGGGGUGAAAUCCCGGGGCCCAACCCCGGAACUGCCUUCAAGACUGCAGACCUGGAGGUCAGGAGAGGCGAGCGGAAUACCGAGUGUAGAGGUGAAAUUCGUAGAUAUUCGGUGGAACACCAGUGGCGAAGGCGGCUCGCUGGACUGAUACUGACGCUGAGGUGCGAAAGCGUGGGGAGCAAACAGG
rnacentral:rRNA from 1 species